rnacentral:lncRNA from 1 species
AUUUUAGCACAGCAUUGAGUUAAAGUGACCACGUACAGAGGUUUAAGGAAUAAAGUAAGCAAGUCUCAGAGGUAGACACAUCAACCAGUAAGUGUGUAUCAGGAAAAUGACUGAAUGGAUGACUGUCUAGGUUGCAAGCAGGACAUACAUGUUACAGUGAGAGCUAAAUUUGAGAGAGAAGCCACUGCGCACCGUGGAUCUUUACAGCUGCUGAGGAGCUCUUGGAGUAAGACAGAGAUCUGAGACUAAACAACCGAUAAGGAACUGAAUGGCUUGUGAGGGCAGUAAUGUUGACCUGAACAGGGGCCUUCUACAAGUGACUGCCUAAAAAUACUGGAAUCAUCAUCAUCAUUGAAGGUGUCAAAGUUCUUAUAGAUUUUACCAGACUCAGGCAAACUCUGCUUUAACUCCGCCCAAAGCCCCAGCUGGACUGUUUUGGCCAAAGGUAUCCGAUCAGGCCCCGGAAGUGACUGUGGAAACUUGACUAGCCUUGGCACGCUAACAUAAGUCGCGACAGUAAAAACACAGUUCUUGACUACAUUACCAGAGCUUGUGUCCACCUGGGUUUGACCUAUGCAUUUUAACUUUGACAAAGAACAGUGUUUUUACAAGUGACUGUCUGGCAUAACACUGGAAGAUAUUAGAGGGUAGUAUUCCCAUGAACUGCAAUGUCCUCUUUGCUUCAAUGAAUCUGCAUUAUUCUGGCAAAUAAGACCUUUCAUGCAUUAAAUCACAUACAUUUCACUUUAAGUGUAUUAAACAAUAUUGUUUAAUGUCCAGUUGUUUGAAACUGCUGUUUAAAAAAAGAUGAUCAAAGUCCUUGUUAAGAUGAUCAGCUUGUUUAAAUGUACAUGUUUCGUUGUGUAUUAUAUGAUGUAUUGUCUAUUGUGAGAUUGUUGUUAAUCUGUGGCUCCACACUGCUGAACAGGCUCCACUAAUUUAAACUAAAUUUAAUUAAAUUUUACUCAAUCCAUA